rnacentral:rRNA from 1 species
AACGCGCAGAACCUUACCUGGGUUUGAACUGCAGUGGAAAGUCUCAGAGAUGAGAUUCCCUCUUCGGAGGUCGCUGUAGAGGUGCUGCAUGGCUGUCGUCAGCUCGUGUCGUGAGAUGUUGGGUUAAGUCCCGCAACGAGCGCAACCCUUAUUCAUAGUUACUAACGUGUAAUGGCGAGAACUCUAUGGAGACUGCCGGUGAUAAACCGGAGGAAGGUGGGGAUGACGUCAAGUCCUCAUGGCCUUUAUGUCCAGGGCUACACACGUGCUACAAUGGACGGUACAGAGAGUCGCGAGACCGCGAGGUGGAGCCAAUCUCAAAAAGCCGUUCUCAGUUCGGAUUGCACUCUGCAACUCGAGUGCAUGAAGUUGGAAUCGCUAGUAAUCGCGGAUCAGCACGCCGCGGUGAAUACGUUCCCGGGUCUUGUACACACCGA